rnacentral:rRNA from 1 species
AUUGAACGCUGGCGGCAUGCCUUACACAUGCAAGUCGAACGGCAGCACGGGAGCAAUCCUGGUGGCGAGUGGCGAACGGGUGAGUAAUAUAUCGGAACGUGCCCAGUCGUGGGGGAUAACGUAGCGAAAGCUACGCUAAUACCACAUACGAGCUAUGGAUGAAAGCGGGGGAUCGCAAGACCUCGCGCGAUUGGAGCGGCCGAUAUCUGAUUAGGUAGUUGGUGAGGUAAAGGCUCACCAAGCCGACGAUCUGUAGCUGGUCUGAGAGGACGACCAGCCACACUGGGACUGAGACACGGCCCAGACUCCUACGGGAGGCAGCAGUGGGGAAUUUUGGACAAUGGGCGCAAGCCUGAUCCAGCAAUGCCGCGUGCAGGAUGAAGGCCUUCGGGUUGUAAACUGCUUUUGUACGGAACGAAACGGUGAGCUCUAAUACAGUUUGCUAAUGACGGUACCGUAAGAAUAAGCACCGGCUAACUACGUGCCAGCCGCCGCCGUAA